GCAAGUCGAGCGAGAAAGCCAACUUCGGGUGCGAGUAGAGUGGCGGACGGGUGAGUAAUGCAUAGGAAUCUGCCUAGUAGUGGGGGACAACUACCGGAAACGGUAGCUAAUACCGCAUACGACCUACGGGUGAAAGGGGGCUUCGGCUCUCGCUAUUAGAUGAGCCUAUGUCAGAUUAGCUAGUUGGUGGGGUAAUGGCCCACCAAGGCAACGAUCUGUAGCUGGUUUGAGAGGAUGAUC
rnacentral:rRNA from 1 species